AUGUCCAUGGGUCCCCAUCAAUCAUUCCAUCAUAUCCUUACGACCAAAAGCAAGCCUAUAAUGAAUCCUAUCCAAACGUACGUUGUAUUAUAUGUAUACAGAAAGUAACAGAACAAACUCUGUUUGGUUGGGCAAGCGGUUGGUUUUCCGUCUGCUUCGGUCCAGCCCAACAUACCCACCCUAUAUGACGUCGGUCCAGUCCAACAAGGUCCCAACGACAUCGUCGAAGCAGCUUCGCGGUUCGUCUCCGAACGGGCAGAGCAGAACAGUUGUAUGGCGCAUAUACAUACAGAGUGUGCGUUUUGUAAGUAUAGGUCGGUAAAAGGAAGGAAGAACCUUCGACCGCCAUACGUUCUGGAAAUCUCUGGCAGCAUCCGAGCCUGAGCUCUCCCCCCCCCCUCCGGUUUCUCUCUGAACUUCCCAACUUCACUGUCCCAUCAUAAACCCUAACGUAUCCUUCCCCGACCGACCCGGAAACUCCCUCUGCACUCGGAGCUGAACCGUCCUCUGUCCCCGUUUCCUCGCGAUCAUGGCCACCGCGGCGCUGCUCCGCUCGCUGCGACGUCGUGACGUCGCCUCCGCCUCCUUCUCUGCUGCUCACGGCAAGUUCAUCCCUGAAAUAAAUUAUGUGUACUAAUUGGUUUGGACGUGGCAAACGUUAGGACGAAUUGGUCCUUCUGUUUGAAAAUAUGAGAGGUACCUGACGGAACCAUCCUGUAGAAGCCGUUAAUGUGCACCGUUGGUCCUUCCUGAUGUUUGGAGGAGAAGGGGAAUAACCCCGAGAGGAUCCGGGCGUCCAGCGGCUGCAGCUGCGGCUAUUGCUGUUGAUUCGCGUUGCACAUGGCUUCCAGAUCAGUAUUGAUUGUUGUUUCUGCUGUCUUUGGUUGUUCAUUUGGGGUAAUUAUUGUUCAUCACGAUGCAUAGCUACUGCUCGACAAUAUGCUCGACAAGUGCUCGACAAAAUGCAAGUGCUCAGCUGAUUCUGAUUUCCCUCAACUUCCGUCCUUGCCCUCACCUCAAUUCAGUCACCCUCAGCUCACCAUCGACAGAUCACCCCAUUCAUGCCCAUUUGGCUUCCGAAAAAAUAAAACCAAAGCUACUCCAGUCAGUGAAGAACCCUAUUUUCGCUUGUAAUUGCGAUAUCAGUUUGCCACUCUCGUUCAUUUCGUGUCAGUUUGCCAGUCUCGUUCAUUUUCACCCCGUUUUGUUUGCGAUGGAGUGAAUGUGACGGAAGUGUUAGGGGCUGUAUAUGGAGAGGUUAUGAUGAUUCAAAAGUCAAGACACAUCUAAAACUUGUUUUUAUUCCUUUGCUUGAUUGAAUUAUGCCUGGAAGUGAGUAUCUA